rnacentral:rRNA from 1 species
CAAUAGCGUAUAUUAAAGUUGUUGCGGUUAAAAAGCUCGUAGUUGGAUUUCUGCCGAGGACGACCGGUCCGCCCUCCGGGUGAGUAUCUGGUUUGGCCUGGGCAUCUUCUUGGAGAACGUAGCUGCACUUGACUGUGUGGUGCGGUGUCCAGGACUUUUACUUUGAGGAAAUUAGAGUGUUUCAAGCAGGCACACGCCUUGAAUACAUUAGCAUGGAAUAAUAAGAUAGGACCUCGGUUCUAUUUUGUUGGUUUCUAGAGCUGAGGUAAUGAUUAAUAGGGAUAGUUGGGGGCAUUCGUAUUUAACUGUCAGAGGUGAAAUUCUUGGACUUGUUAAAGACGGACUACUGCGAAAGCAUUUGCCAAGGAUGUUUUCAUUGA